AGAGUCUAUAGAUACGAUUUAAUAAAAAGUGUAUCUUUAAAUAUAAGGCUUAUAGUUAUAUAUUAAAGGCGUAUUUUAGUUUCGAUCGCGACGGGUAUUUUAAUAAUUUUGCCCUGACACUUGCGGUUUCCGUAUUUGUAACAAAACCGCUAAAUUAAUAACACCUGUCUAUUAACAUAAUUCCCGCCAAAAUAAUAAAUCUGAUUCGAAACAUUGCAGGUGAGCCAAGUCCGUCUCUCCCUCCUCUCUUGCACCUCGCGCGCCGCUUCGCGGCGCGCUCGAUCUCGUCGCUUCGCGACUCCAACUCUAGAGAGACGGACUUGAUCCAAGUCUACCCAAUACCCUUUGGGGCUGUCAAUUUCCCGUUUGUAAUGCGCGAAUCAAAUCGAAACCUUGACAUCCCCCCCCCGGGCAUACCUGGGGAAUUUGCUUGUUUAGUAUUUUAAGAAGGCGGGAAUUUGACCUUUUUUUCUAGUGGAAGGUGGGGAAUUUGAAGGGGGUCGGGAAUUUGAAUUUUUCUUUUAAACACGUGUGCAGAAUCCAAAAUGGCGUCAAUAAUUAAUGGAUGAGUUCAAGGUCUUCAAGUGCAAAGGAAUUAACUUUGUCCUUGGUUGGCUACAUGAAAACGGCUUUGAACGAUUGAAGAGAGUUUUUGAAGGAAAGAAAAACUUUGAAAUUCCAAAAUUGCGUAAUGCUGUAGCUUCCAAUUCGUACAUGGGGUGGGGUAUUUGAACUCCAAUUUUUCCCAAUACGUGGUGUAUUUGAACGGGAAUUACAAAUAUAUGUAGGGAAUUUGACCUAACCAAAACGUCAAAAUCCAAAUUCCCGGGGGUAUGCCCGGGGGGGGAUGUCAAGGUUUCGAUUUGAUUCGCGCAUAAUACUGAAAAACGGCAAACUUCGCAAGGCUAUAUUAUCCGCAUUUUACAACAUUUCGCAAC